AGAAAAUAUUAUAAAAUUUUAAUUUAUAAAAGAAUAGAAACCCCUCUAUAUCUUCAAAAUUCAGCCCAUUACAAAUUUCUGCAAACCUUACUCUCCAGUCUCCACAGACCACAAAACUCACGCUCACGUAUGGGCACGGCUCCACAGACCACACUCCACGUCUCGUCGCCUCCGGAACGUACGUAGCCGGCCGACUUCUAAGGUAACUGAAUCUCUUUUCCUUGUUUCAUUAUGGUUUUUAGUUUCUGUUCUAGACUUCUUGGAUUAUUCAAAAUUUGAAUUUUAAAGUUGUUUUAUUUCCUAUUGCACUUCUACUUGAUUUAGGGUUUUAGUUCCUGUUCUAGGAUUAUUCAAAAAAAUUGUUGUUUUUGUGGAGCUAGACAGUUUAAAAAAUGUAGGUAAAGCUUUCUGUUGUAGUAAUGAAUUUGUGAAGUUAAAAAAUGGUGAGAUUCCUCAAGAAUUGUCUCGUCUAUUUUUUAUUUCUUGACACAUUAAUUUGUUUUUUGCAGGUUGGAGUGUGCGGUUGGUUUGAGUUAAAUUUGUCAUCUUUGGAGGAUAGUCCUUAAAAGGAAUAGUUUGCUGUUUGCUUGAAUUUUGAGUUUAUUCCUUUAAGAUUUACAAUACAUGCUCUCUGUUUCUUUGGCAUCUUGUUUAGCUUUUUGAGUUUGCCAUUUAUUUUUAAUUUCUGUUUGAGACUUUUGUGUGUGUCAAUUUCUGACAAAACUGUUUACCUAGAUCAAUAAAUAGAUGUAGAACCUGCAAUUUCGAUAGUUUCUAGUUCGUUGUUCAUUAUGAUUAAUGCCGUGAAAGUCAGUUUUCUCUACCCUUUUGUCACUAUGAAGAAGAAAACUGUUGACAUCUGUAAUUUCACUGCGUUUUACAAGUUUGG
rnacentral:lncRNA from 1 species